GAUGAACGCUGGCGGCGUGCCUAAUACAUGCGAGUCGAGCGAACGGACGAGAAGCUUGCUUCUCUGAUGUUAGCGGCGGACGGGUGAGUAAAACGUGGAUAACCUACCUAUAAGACUGGGAUAACUUCGGGAAACCGGAGCUAAUACCGGCUAAUAUUUUGAACCGCAUGGUUCAAAAGUGAAAGACGGUCUUGCUGUCACUUAUAGCUGGAUCCGCGCUGCAUUAGCUAGUUGGUAAGGUAACGGCUUACCAAGGCAACGAUGCAUAGCCGACCUGAGCGGGUGAUCGAGCACCCUGGAACUGAGACACGGUCCAGACUCCGACGGGAGGCAGCAGUAGGGAAUCUUCCGCGAUGGGCGAAAGCCGAACGGAGCAACGCCGCGUGAGUGAUGAAGGUCUUCGGAUCGUAAAACUCUGUUAUUAGGGAAGAACAUAUGUGUAAGUAACUGUGCACAUCUUGACGGUACCUAAUCAGAAAGCCACGGCUAACUACGUG
rnacentral:rRNA from 1 species